CCUACCAUCUUCUCUUGUGUGAUUGCCUGUCACCGCUGUCACUCCUGAGACGCUCACUUUACAAAAAAUCGGAUUUGCUAAUGAAUCGGGUUUGUGAUUGGAUGGCCGCAGCACUGCCAAAGUCCUAUGUGCUACCCUAAUUAGAACUGUAGGGUCAAAAGUGUUUUUCUCUACGUUAUGGUACGUUUUGGAUUUUUGAGAUAUCUCAAAUGGUCCAGGAGUUAUUGUCUUAGAGAAGAACAUGGAUCUGCAAAAGACAACAGACGGUGAGGGAAUCUGCUACUGGGCAUCCCAAGACUGUGGUGGGCUAGUUGCUCUCUCCACACAGGCAUAUCGCUUUUACAUCAUUACCUCUGCAUAUGAGGAGCAGAUUAUCAGUCACUCUUCUUCUGAAUUUUAACCAUUCAUGGCUGCUUGCCCUGCAACCUCAGGACAACCUGUGAAUCCACACCAUCAGCACUGCUCAACCAUCAUUAGUCUCAGGACCACAGCCCCACAUUUCCUUCACCACAAAACCACCUUCAGGUCUGGAUUGGCUCACCUCUUCCUGGCAGUCAACCUCCCUCCUACAAGUCCCCUUACCGUCUUCUAGCCGGAUCAUCAUAUUAUCCUCUUUUUCAAUAAACUAGGUUUAUUUUUCUUCUC